ACACGACUCUCGGCAACGGAUAUCUAGGCUCUCGCAUCGAUGAAGAACGUAGCAAACUGCGAUACUUGGUGUGAAUUGCAGAAACCCGUGAACCAUCGAGUCUUUGAACGCAAGUUGCGCCCGAAGCCAUUAGGCCGAGGGCACGUCUGCCUGGGCGUCACGC
rnacentral:rRNA from 1 species